UUUCCACAGUGAAAGUUGUGGAUGGUACCAACAGAAGCGUUCCUUAGCGUCCCCAUGUUUGGUCCCCCCUCUGUUGGGGUACCUAGCACACAGAUGUGGUACUAAAAGGUGGAGCUGUGAACACUGCAGUCUGAUUGGUCAGUAGAGGACGGUCACUCUGCUCAGGGCUGAGUUGUGUCUGGUUUUGAGGCUCAUGUAACCACUGUUCAUACUGUGGAGAGUUUUAUUAGUAAACUGUAACUAUAAAAUGAAAGGAUGUUUUGCUGCCUCUCACAGCAGCUGGAGUCUGAGAAAAAAUAACUUCAUUCACUGGGCCGACUGCCGGCAACUUUUAAGGUGGAACGUUAACUUGUAAUGUUACUCAAUGCAUGAGUUGAUGACGUGAAUCCAUCAGCACACCUUAAAUUUCACUGUGACAACUUUGACCAUCACUUUAGUUUUUAUAUGACACACACUUUUAGUAAUGACUUUAAAAAUAUAGAUUCAUUUGGAGCGGAUUAUGUGAAGGUCAUAUAUUCUAAUCCUCACUUCCUGUGGGCUACAGCAACACUAAACCCCUGAGCUUGCCUGAGAAGGACUAAAUGCACAAAGCUGCUAUUUUUAAAUAUCCCAUGGAGAGAGACUCUCACUGCAGCCUGUUCUAUUUUGUUCUGAAAAUGUGGGCGUGCAGCCUCGUUCUGUGGACGAUAAACCAGGUGCAGACUUCCAUCUGUGUCACCGCUGAUGAGGAAAUACAGCGAGUGCUGGACGGAGCAGUGAGUGACAACAACCCCGCCCACAUUUAAAAGGACUGUCUGAACAGACCCAGGGUCUAGGUACCAUGUCUGAAGGCUUACUGCUGGUUCCAGAGG